UCCAUAAAACUAAUGCACAACAACCCAACAACCACACACAUCAUUAUCUUUUUUAAAACAGAACAAACAAACCACGACUCACCGCUAUUAACAGUGACAAAACCACCUUGCUCUGUCGCUUCCCCAAAACUCACAAACAAACAGAUUCAAACAAACUCUCAGAAGCUUUUUCGGCCGGCCACCUGUGCGUAAAACGCGACCGGACCAUAACUUUC
rnacentral:lncRNA from 1 species